rnacentral:tRNA from 1 species
GCUCGAGUGGUGAAAUUGGUAGACACGCAUGAUUCAGGUUCAUGUGCAUUCGCUUGCAUGGGGGUUCGAGUCCCCCCUCGAGCA